rnacentral:rRNA from 1 species
UACGUAGGGGGCUAGCGUUAUCCGGAAUUACUGGGCGUAAAGGGUGCGUAGGUGGUUUCUUAAGUCAGAGGUGAAAGGCUACGGUUCAACCGUAGUAAGCCUUUGAAACUGGGGAACUUGAGUGCAGGAGAGGAGAGUGGAAUUCCUAGUGUAGCGGUGAAAUGCGUAGAUAUUAGGAGGAACACCAGUUGCGAAGGCGGCUCUCUGGACUGUAACUGACACUGAGGCACGAAAGCGUGGGGAGCAAACAGG